rnacentral:rRNA from 1 species
UACAGAGGGGGGCAAGCGUUGUUCGGAAUUACUGGGCGUAAAGGGCGCGUAGGCGGCCUGCUAAGUCGAACGUGAAAAUCCCCUGGGCUCAACCCAGGAACUGCGUCCGAUACUGGUUGGCUUGAAUCCGGGAGAGGGAUGUGGAAUUCCAGGUGUAGCGGUGAAAUGCGUAGAUAUCUGGAGGAACACCGGUGGCGAAGGCGACAUCCUGGACCGGUAUUGACGCUGAGGGCGCGAAAAGC